UCGGACCAAUCCCGGGUAGCAAUACACGGGUGCGGUUAGAGGCGAACGGGUGAGUAACACGUGACCAAUCUGCCCCAACCUUCGGAAUAACACCGGGAAACUGGUGCUAAUACCGGAUGUGAUCGCGGGAGGGAAUCCUUCUGCGAGGAAAGGCCGCAAGGCCGGGUUGGGAGGAGGUCGCGGCCUAUUAGCUAGUUGGUGAGGUAACGGCUCACCAAGGCGACGAUGGGUAGCUGGUCUGAGAGGAUGGUCAGCCACAUCGGAACUGAGACACUGUCCGGAUUUCUACGGAAGGCUGCAGUCGAGAAUCUUGGGCAAUGCGCGAAAGCGUGACCCAGCGACGCCGCGUGAGGGACGAAGGCCUUCGGGUCGUAAACCUCUUUUAGCUGGAAAGAACCCCGCAAGGGUUGACGGUACCAGCGGAAUCAGCCACGGCUAACUACGUGCCAGCAGCCGCGGUAAUACGUAGGUGGCGAGCGUUGUCCGGAUUUACUGGGCGUAAAGCGUCCGCAGGCGGCCGACUAAGUUGGGGGUGAAAGGUUGGGGCUCAACCCCAAAGCUGCCCCCAAUACUGGUUGGCUGGAGUCUCGGAGAGGAGAACGGAACUGCACGUGUAGCGGUGAAAUGCGUUGAGAUGUGCAGGAACACCAGUGGCGAAAGCGGUUCUCUGGACGA
rnacentral:rRNA from 1 species